ACAGGUGACUGAUGCCGAGUGAGAAGGUAUACCUGACACAUACCCCCAUCAGCUGCAAUAAAGGAACCACGAGACAGGUGACUGAUGCCGAGUGAGAAGUUAUACCUGACACAUACCCCCGUCAGCUGCAAUAAAGGAACCACGAGACAGGUGACUGAUGCCAAGUGAGAAGGUAUACCUGACACGUACCCCCGUCAGCUGCAAUAAAGGAACCACGAGACAGGUGACUGAUGCCGAGUGAGAAGGUAUACCUGACACAUACCCCCAUCAGCUGCAAUAAAGGAACCACGAGACAGGU